GUUAUAUGGUCAAGUGAAGAAGCGCAUACGGUGGAUGCCUUGGCAGUCAGAGGCGAUGAAAGACGUGGUAGCCUGCGAAAAGCUUCGGGGAGUCGGCAAACAGACUUUGAUCCGGAGAUGUCUGAAUGGGGGAACCCAGCCAUCAUAAGAUGGUUACCUUACACUGAAUACAUAGGUGUAUGGAGCGAACCAGGGGAACUGAAACAUCUAAGUACCCUGAGGAAAAGAAAUCAACCGAGAUUCCCUUAGUAGUGGCGAGCGAACGGGGACUAGCCCUUAAGUGGCUUUGAGAUUAGCGGAACGCUCUGGAAAGUGCGGCCAUAGUGGGUGAUAGCCCUGUACGCGAAAAUCUCUUAGUCAUGAAAUCGAGUAGGACGGAGCACGAGAAACUUUGUCUGAAUAUGGGGGGACCAUCCUCCAAGGCUAAAUACUACUGACUGACCGAUAGUGAACUAGUACCGUGAGGGAAAGGCGAAAAGAACCCCGGAGAGGGGAGUGAAAUAGAUCCUGAAACCGUAUGCGUACAAGCAGUGGGAGCCCACUUUGUUGGGUGACUGCGUACCUUUUGUAUAAUGGGUCAGCGACUUAUUUUCAGUGGCGAGCUUAACCGAAUAGGGGAGGCGUAGCGAAAGCGAGUCUUAAUAGGGCGUCUAGUCGCUGGGAAUAGACCCGAAACCGGGCGAUCUAUCCAUGGGCAGGUUGAAGGUUGGGUAACACUAACUGGAGGACCGAACCGACUACCGUUGAAAAGUUAGCGGAUGACCUGUGGAUCGGAGUGAAAGGCUAAUCAAGCUCGGAGAUAGCUGGUUCUCCUCGAAAGCUAUUUAGGUAGCGCCUCAUGUAUCACUGUAGGGGGUAGAGCACUGUUUCGGCUAGGGGGUCAUCCCGACUUACCAAACCGAUGCAAACUCCGAAUACCUACAAGUGCCGAGCAUGGGAGACACACGGCGGGUGCUAACGUCCGUCGUGAAAAGGGAAACAACCCAGACCGUCAGCUAAGGUCCCAAAGUUAUGGUUAAGUGGGAAACGAUGUGGGAAGGCUUAGACAGCUAGGAGGUUGGCUUAGAAGCAGCCACCCUUUAAAGAAAGCGUAAUAGCUCACUAGUCGAGUCGGCCUGCGCGGAAGAUGUAACGGGGCUCAAACCAUACACCGAAGCUACGGGUAUCACGUAAGUGAUGCGGUAGAGGAGCGUUCUGUAAGCCUGUGAAGGUGAGUUGAGAAGCUUGCUGGAGGUAUCAGAAGUGCGAAUGCUGACAUGAGUAACGACAAUGGGUGUGAAAAACACCCACGCCGAAAGACCAAGGUUUCCUGCGCAACGUUAAUCGACGCAGGGUUAGUCGGUCCCUAAGGCGAGGCUGAAAAGCGUAGUCGAUGGAAAACAGGUUAAUAUUCCUGUACUUCUGGUUAUUGCGAUGGAGGGACGGAGAAGGCUAGGCCAGCUUGGCGUUGGUUGUCCAAGUUUAAGGUGGUAG
rnacentral:rRNA from 1 species